rnacentral:lncRNA from 1 species
GGCGAGGUCUGAAUGGAGGUACACGGAGAGAACCACCCGGAUCGAGCAACCGGUCGCGGCUGCACUGGGAGAUCUGCACCCUGAAGCUCUCAACAAUCUGCCAUUGGUGUUGGAGCAUGGCGAAAUUGGAGAGGAACUUCUUCUUCUGGUCAUCAGAAUCGACGAACAAGUGAUGUGCACGUUUUUGGCACGCACAUAGCGCGACGUGGCCUCCAGAAACAUCCCUUCAUCGAGGCAGCCCCAGAUGUUCUCGGGCGUGUCAGCGAGGUACUUA